CCGGCCGCCCCAGGGACACUCGCAAAGUUCCGGAUCCGCAAGGACCGGGCCAGCGGACGUCCGCGUGGCAGGGUGCACUUUCUCCGCGGUCGAGUGCUACGACCGGUUUCGCGGCGGUCAGAAGCCCGGCGGAAAGGUAGCGCCGCCCCUCGGGGUGUCGUGUUAUAGGCCGCCGCGGUGGACUCGCCGCGAGACCGAGGACGCUUGCCGCGCCGAGCGGUCCCGGGCCGUCUUGGGAGGUUCGACCUCGGCUGCACUGCUCCGCAGAGCACCGUAACCGCCGCCCUAGCACGGGUCCGGAGACUGCCGGCGCCUCGGGUCAGUAGCG
rnacentral:rRNA from 1 species